rnacentral:lncRNA from 1 species
GAGGGCUUCAUUCAUUCAUUCAUUCAUUCAUUCAUUCGUUCAAUAGCAUUUAUCGAGCGCUUACUAUGUGCAGAGCACCGGACCGAGCGCUCGGAACGGACAGUUCGGCGACGGAUAGAGACGGUCCCCGCCCUCCGACGGGCUCGCGGUCCGAUCGGGGGAGACGGACGGACGGGAACGACGGCGAUGGAUAGGAUCGAGGGGCUGAACGUCUCGUUAAAACCAUAGCAGAUGAAUAGAAUCGAGGCGACGUACGUCUCAUUAACCAAAUGGAUAGGGUGAUGGCUUGGCAAAUACGUUAUUAUUAUUAAUAAUCCCAGAUCCACCGUUUUUCCGCUGUGUGACCUCGGGCGAGCCACUUGGCUCCUCCGGGCCUCCGUUCCCUCGUCUGUAAAAUAGGGAUUGAGCCCGUGAGCCCCACGUGGGACGGGGACCGCGUCCAACCCGAUUUGCCUGUGUCUACUCCAGCGGUUAGUGCAGUGCCUGGCACAUAGUAAGCGCUGGACAAGCGCUGUUGUUAUUAUUAUUAUUAUUAUUGUUAAUAACAAUCCCGGAUCCACCGUUUUGCUGUGUGACCUUGGGCGAGUCGCUUCACUUCUCUGGGCCCCAGUUCCCUCAUCUGUCAAAUGGGGAUGGAGACCGGGAGCCCCGCGGGGGACGGGGAACGUCCCGAUCUGCUUGGAUCCACCCCAGUGCUUUAGUACGGGGUCUGGCGCGUGGUAAGCGUUUAACGGGUGCCUCGGUUCCCUCAUCUGUAAAAUGGGGAUGAAGACCGUGAGCCCCACGUGGGACGACCUGAUCCCCCUGUGUCUCCCCCGGCGCUUAGAACGGUGCUCGGCACAUAGUGAGCGCUUAGCGGAUACCAACGUUAUUAUUAACAAACACCCCAGUUAUUAUUAUUAGUAUCAUCAUUCAGUUGGGGCUCAGGGGGAGAAAUCCGACUUGCCCCCGCACCCCGACGCCUCCGUUCUCUCCCAGCCCGCCCCCCCGGCCGCUGGACCCCCGGCCCCUCCGCGCACCCCCCAGCUCCGCGGGACCCCGGAGAGCAGCUGCGGCGCCGAGCUGAGCGACAGCCCCCCACGGGGGGUCGGGGUGACCCGGCCCGCCCUCCGCAGGGGGAAGAGCCGCGUGCGGGUGCGGCGGGCCAGCAUCUCGGAGCCGAGCGACACCGAUCCGGACCCCCGGACCCCGGACCCCUCGCCCGCUGGCCGGUUCGUGCAGC